UACGGAGGGGGCAAGCGUUAUCCGGAUUCACUGGGUUUAAAGGGUGCGUAGGCGGGCAGGUAAGUCCGUGGUGAAAUCUCUGAGCUUAACUCAGAAACUGCCAUGGAUAUUAUUUGUCUUGAAUAUUGUGGAGGUAAGCGGAAUAUGUCAUGUAGCGGUGAAAUGCUUAGAUAUGACAUAGAACACCAAUUGCGAAGGCAGCUUACUACACAGUUAUUGACGCUGAGGCACGAAAGCGUGGGGAUCAAACAGG
rnacentral:rRNA from 1 species